GAACACAGCAGCCGGCCGUCCUGCGGUUAAUCAGAUCCUCGUGGCCGAGCACAAGCAGCAGCAGCAGCUGCCGGCUCCCGGGGCUGUGCUUCAGCUUCCCGGUCUCAUGGUGCCUCCCGUCAUGGCUGUCGAGCAACCUGUAAAAAGAGGCUACCAUGGUAUUUUAACUGUGAUAAGAGAGGAAGAGUCACGCCUGAAGGAGCAGACAAAAGCUAUCAGACAGAUGGCACGCUUGGAACUUUGUUAUAGCUAGAUAUAUGCAUACAGGUGCUACUGAGUUGUAGUUUGUGCUGUCUUGAUGAGCCAUCAGUUAUCUUCAAUCUGAUGGCCUGCAUACUUAUAUUAAGCUGGGUUUAGCAGUAUUAAUUAGUAGCGGCGGAACUGUACGUUCUCCAAAUAAUUACCCUUCCACGGAUUAGUGGAGAGUUACUGUGAGUGAGGAGUGAGAACCAGAUGUGCAAUCUCUUGUACAAAAAAGUGUGAGAUCACAUGUGUACGGUAUAAUAACCCAGCAUGCGUAUACUACUAGCUAGCUCUCUUCUUGCAAGCUAAAUGUGGUGGUACAGCAAUACUAAAAUGUCGUUGGUUGCUACGAAA